rnacentral:rRNA from 1 species
GACAGAGGGUGCAAACGUUGUUCGGAAUUACUGGGCGUAAAGCGAGUGUAGGCGGUGUGGUAAGUCGGAUGUGAAAGCCCCGGGCUCAACUCGGGAAGUGCACUCGAUACUGCCACGCUAGAGUAUCGGAGAGGUUGGUGGAAUUCUCGGUGUAGAGGUGAAAUUCGUAGAUAUCGAGAGGAACACCGGUGGCGAAGGCGGCCAACUGGACGAAUACUGACGCUGAGACUCGAAAGCGUGGGGAGCAAACAGG